ensembl:lncRNA
AAUCAAGACUUUAAUUCACAUCUCCCUGACUCCAAAGCCUGUACAUACUGCCCAGCAUGUAGCAUGCACCCAAUCAAUGUUUGAAGAACAAAUGUUUAAAAACCUUAAUUUUGAAAUUUUGUGAGCCAAGACUACCAAAUAAUUCCUAAGAACACAGUUAAGUCUAAAGAGAAAUGUAUUUACCAGUAACAUACUCACAUACAAUUUUAGCUUCAGCUAUUUAAAAAAUUAAGUUCUUCUGGAGUUCCUAUCUUGGCGCAGCAGAAACGAAUCCAACUAGGAACCAUGAGGAACUCCCUGUUAAUUUUUUAAUGAGAUCUGUAAGUAUAACGUAAAGAUCCUAAUAUUGUUCCUUACCCUCUCCUUGGACCUCACAUCAGUGCUCAUGCUAUUUUAGGUCCUAAGACUUUGCAGCUUUAAAGUAACUUCUCCUUGCCUUUCUUUGGCUGUGACAGCAAUGGCCACCUCUUCACAGCUGAGACGAAGACCAAUUAUUUGCAUCUUGGUCUCUACUCUUUGCCUUUCAGGCCUUCGUCCUUUGCAGCACAUGAUAUAGAGAGAAGAAUGCAGCAAUGUUGUUGCUCUGUGAUGACAAUAAGUUGUUUCUAUUCUUCAAAGCAGUGUAAAUAGGGCAGCAAGUCUGUGCGUUUGCAAAACAGCAUCUCACAAAAGAAGCUUAAAUGCACCCAACUCCCAGUCUAUGCUCAGCAUAAAACACCUGCCAGCAGAAAACCAGGAGACUGCCACUCUAAAACUGGUCUCAGAUUUGCCUUUAUUUCUUAAACAUGCUAAAGGAUAUAACAGUUAAUGAUACAUUUUCCUGUUCAAAUAUCAAUAUUUCCUAAAAGCUCCAAACAAAAUCCUUUGGAAGAAACUAAUAUUUGGGGGAGAUGUCUUAGGUACCAGGUUUUCUACUAAGCAGUUUUCAUAUAUUACUUAUUUAACCUUCAAACAACCCUUUUAGGUGAGUACUAUCCCCAUUUUACAGAUGAUGAAACUAAGGUUAAAAAAUAUGAAGUGACUUGGCCAAGGUACCACAGAAUGUAAGUAGUGGGCGUAAGGUUUAUCCUAGCCCCAUCUUCACUGUACCAGCCCACCUUGCCUUCACAUGGCAUUCAGGCUCUAAACAGUAUAGCCCCAAACUGCCUCUCCAAUCUAGUACCAAUUUUUACAUCAUCUAUUUUGUUAUGUAUAUAGUUAGCCCUUAAUAUCCAUGGGUUCCACAUUCACAGAGUCAACCAAUUGCAGAUUGAAAAUAUUCAGAAACAAACAAUUCCAAAAAGUUCCAAAAAGCAAAACUUGAAUUUGCUUCAUUCUGGUACUAUUUACAUAAUAUUUACAUUUUAUAUAGUUAUUUACAUAGUAUUUAUACUAUAUUAGGUAUUUUAUGUAAUUGAGAGAUUAUUUAAAAUAUACAGGGGGAUGUACAUAGGUUAUAUGCAAAUACUACACCAUUUUAUAUAAGGGAUUUAAGCAGCCACAGAUUUUGAUAUCAGCAAGGGGUCUUGGAACCAAUCCCCCACAAAUAUUGAGGUAUGGCUAUAAAUCAAAGUUGUUUUUCCCACUCUAAUUUCAUUAUUUCAAAAAAAUCAUAGAAAAUCAACAAGCAGUAGUUGACAAAGCUGAAUAUGCACAUACUUUACAACUGUGAAAAAUUAAUAAAGGGAAAUCUCACUUAAAAUGAAGCAUUCCUGUCAUGGCUCAGCAGUAAUGAACCCAAUUAGUAUCCAUGAGGAGGCGGGUUUGAUCCCUGGCCUUGCUCAGUGGGUUAAGGAUCUGGCAUUGCUGCAGGCUGUGGUGUAGAUCACAGAUGUGGCUCAGAUCUGGUGUUGCCAUGGCUGUGGUGUAGGCCUGCAGCUGCAGCUCCAAUUCAACCCCUAGCCUGGUAAAUUCCAUAUGCCUCAGGUGCAGCCCUUAAAAAAAAAGCUCUUGCACAGCAAAGGAAACCAUUUUUAAAAAGAUGAAAAGACAACCCCCAGAAUGGGAGAAAAUCUCUGCAAACGAAGCAACCAACAAGGGAUUAAUCUCCAAAACACAUAAAUAUUCCAUGCAGCUUUAUAUCAAAAAACAUACAACCCAAUCAAAAAUGGGCAGAAGAUCUAAAUAGACAUUGCUCCAAAGAAGACAGACAGAUGGCCAAAAAACACAUGAAAAGAUGCUCCACAUCACAAAUUAUUACAGAAAUGCAAAUCAAAACUAUAGUGAGAUACCAUCUCACACCCACCAGAACGGCCAUCAUCAAAAACAAUAAAAGCAGGAGAGGGUGUGGAGAAAAAGGGAACCCUCCUACACCGUUGGUGUGAAUGUAAAUUGGUACAACCACUAUGGGGGACAGUAUAGACGGUCCUCAAAAAACUAAAAAUAGAACUACCAUAUGAUCCAGCAAUCCCACUCCCAGCAUAUAUCUGGAGAAAACUCAAAUUCAAAAAGGUACACACACCCCAAUGUUCACAGCUGCACUAUUUAUAAUAGCCAAAACAUGGUAGCAACCUAGGUGUCCACUGACAGAAGAACGGAUAAAAAAGAUAUGGUACAUAUAAGAGUUCCCAUCGUGGCUCGGCAGUUAACAAAUCCAAUUAGGAACCAUGAGGUUGUGGGUUCGAUCCCUGGCCUCACUCAGUAGGUUAAGGGUCCGGCAUUGCCAUAAGCUGUGGUGUAGGUCACAGACACAGCCCGGAUCUGGCGUUGCUGUGGCUGUGGUGUAGGCCGGCAGUUGCAGCUCAAAAUCGACCCUAGCCUGGGAACUUCCAUAUGCCACAGGUGCGGCCAUAAAAAGAAAAAAAAAUUUUUUAAAUAAAAUAUGACACAAAUGAACUUCUCUGCGAAACAGAAACAGACUCACAGACAUAGAGAAGAGACUUGUGGUUGCCAAGGGGGAGGCGGUUAGGGUAAGGCUGGACUGGGAGUUUGGAUUAGCAGGUGCAAACUUAUAUACAUAGAAUGGAUAAACAACAAAGUCCUACAGUAUAGCACAUACUCAAUAUCCUGUAAUAAUCCAUAAUGGAAAAGAAUAUGAAAAAGUGUGUGUGUGUGUAUAUAUAUAUAUAUAUAUAUAUGCAUAUGAGUAUGAAAAAGUGUAUAUAUAUAUACACACACACAUAUAACACAUACAACUGAAUCACUCUGCUGUACACCAAAGAUUAACACAAUAUUAUAAAUCACCUUCAAGAAAAAAAAUUUUUUUAAAGAUUAUAGCUGUUGCCUCUUAACAGGUUUUCUCCCCACUUUAAAAGCAACUUGGAGGAUUAACACAUUAACAACACAUUAACAUCCUGGAUGUUUCAAAUUUUCAGCAUCCCAGAGAGUCCCACUUCCCUGGUAUCACCAUAUACCUGUUGCUUUACUUAGAGUUUGUAUUACAAACUUCAAAAAGAUUAGCUAAAAAAUGAGGACUUUUAGUAAUUAAAUUAACUGUGUUUUUUACUAUUCCCUUUAUUUCACAGUGAACAUCAGAGGAUGAUCUAACACCAAAAAAAAAAAAAAAAAGGCUUACUUUCACCUCUUUGAAAAUGUUCAAGCAAGUGGAGUUCCAGUCAUGGCUCAGCAGUAGCGAACCAGACUAGUAUCUAUGAGGAGAGGUUCGAUCCCCGGCCUCGAUCAGUGGGUUAAGGAUCCAGCAUUGCCGUGAGCUGUGGUGUAGGUCAAGGACAAGGCUCGGAUCCUGCGUUGCUGUGCCUGUGGGGUAUGCCAGGAGCUGCAGCUCUGAUUCAACCCCUAGUCUGGGAAGUUUCAUAUGCUGUGGAUACAGCCCUAACCAAAAAAAAAAAAAAAAAAAAAAAAA